rnacentral:rRNA from 1 species
AGAAUGAACGUUGGCGGCGUGGAUUAGGCAUGCAAGUCGAACGGGCUUGGUAGCAAUACCAGGUCAGUGGCGUAAGGGUGAGUAAGGCGACGGCAACCAACCCCAUGGUUGGGCAUAGCCGCGGGAAACUGCGGGUAAUUCCCAGCGAUGUUCGUACCGGGCAUCCGGUGUGAACCAAAGUUCUGGCGCCGUGGGACGGGCCGUCGUGGUAUUAGGUAGUUGGCGGGGUAAUGGCCCACCAAGCCUCUGAUGCCUACCGGGCGUGCGAGCGUGGCCCGGCACACUGGGACUGAGACACUGCCCAGACUCCUACGGGAGGCUGCAGUCGAGAAUCUUCGGCAAUGGGCGCAAGCCUGACCGAGCGACGCCGCGUGGAGGAUGAAGGCCUUCGGGUUGUAACUCCUGUCGAGGGGGAGGAAGGGGUAACCUUGACCUAUCCCUGGAGGAGCACGGGCUAAGUUCGCGCCAGCAGCCGC